rnacentral:rRNA from 1 species
AUCCCGCAUGUUUCUUCGGAGAUGUGCGCCAGCGAUGUCAUACUUCCAAGAAAAGCUCGAACACCAUUAACAAUAAAAUCACCUGUACCUGAAACCGACACAGGUAGGUUGGUAGAGAAUACUAAGGGGCGCGAGAUAACUCUCUCUAAGGAACUCGGCAAACUAGCCCCGUAACUUCGGGAGAAGGGGCGCCCUCCGCAAGGGGGGUUGCAGUGACCAGGCCCAGGCGACUGUUUACCAAAAACACAGGUCUCCGCAAAGUCGUAAGACAAUAUAUGGGGGCUGACGCCUGCCCAGUGCCGGAAGGUUAAGGAGGUUGGUUAUUGCGUAAGUAAGAAGCUGACGACUGAAGCCCCGGUGAACGUGCCGUAACUAUGACGGUCCUAAGGUAGCAAAAUUCUUUGACAGGUAAGUUCUGUCCUGCACGAAAGGCGUAACGAUCUGGGCGCUUUCGCAGAGAGAGACUCGGUGAAAUAGACUUGUCCGUGAAGAUGCGGACUACCUGCACCUGGACAGAAAGACCCUAUGAAGCUUGACUGUAUCCUGGAAUAGGGUUUGGGCUCUUCUUGCGCAGCCUAGGUGGGAGGCUAUGAAGAUUUCCUUCCGGGGAAGUUGGAGCCAUCAUUGAGAGACCACUCUGGAAGAGCUAGAAUCCUAAUGGCGUUCCUUCUAACAGGACGCUUGACGGUUUCAGGUGGGCAGUUUAUUUGGGGCGAAUGCCUCAUAAAAGGUAACUGAGGCGUGCAAAGGUUCUCUCAGGCUGGACGGAAAUCAGCCGUGGAGUGCAAAAGCAGAAGAGAGCUUGACUGCAAGACCUACAAGUCGAGCAGGUACGAAAGUAGGCUUUAGUGAUCCGACGGUGCCGAGUGGAAGGGCCGUCGCUCAACGGAUAAAAGUUACUCUAAGGAUAACAGGCUGAUCUUCCCCAAGAGUUCACAUCGACGGGAAGGUUUGGCACCUCGAUGUCGGCUCAUCACAUCCUGGGGCGGUAGUACGUCCCAAGGGUUGGGCUGUUCGCCCAUUAAAGUGGUACGUGAGCUGGGUUCAGAACGUCGUGAGACAGUUCGGUCCAUAUCCGGUGUAGGCGCUUAGAGCAUUGAGAGGAUUCGAGUCUAGUACGAGAGGACCGAUUUGAACAAACCAACGGUAUACCAGUUCUCGCUCCAGCGGGAAACGCUGGGUAGCCGCGUUUGGAUGGAUAACCGCUGAGAGCAUAUAAGUGGGAAACCAACCUCAAGAUGAGUGCUCUCCAUCAGGCCGCAGCAAGAUAAGCUGUCUGAUAGGUGCCAGGUCUAAGAUCAGCAAUGGUUUCAGCCGAGGCAUACUAAAGGCCGAUUG